rnacentral:rRNA from 1 species
UACGAAGGGGGCUAGCGUUGCUCGGAAUACUGGGCGUAAAGCGUGCGCAGGCGGUGAUGUAAGACAGGUGUGAAAUCCCCGGGCUCAACCUGGGAACUGCAUUUGUGACUGCAUAGCUAGAGUACGGUAGAGGGGGAUGGAAUUCCGCGUGUAGCAGUGAAAUGCGUAGAUAUGCGGAGGAACACCGAUGGCGAAGGCAAUCCCCUGGACCUGUACUGACGCUCAUGCACGAAAGCGUGGGGAGCAAACAGG